AUGAUCAGGAACAGCACCUUCACUUCAGCAGUCAGGCUGUAUCACAGCUCAGGAUCGAGAGACCUUUGGCACUAUCCUGUUUGCAAUUUCCCUGGAUUAAUCCAACGAAUCAUGGCUAGGGAUCUGUUUGGCUCUGAGAAGAGGUUUAUGAAGCAAGGAGGACUCCCUAACUUCAGGACCACAAGACUGCUGCAGAAUCACCUACAUUUGCUUACAUUCAGGUGAGUUUUGCUUUGCUUUAUCUGGGACAUCACACUUCAUAAAAUGCCCCAUGAAUGGUUUGGAACUCAUGUACCUGGAGACAGUGG
rnacentral:lncRNA from 12 species